GCUUCUCGUCAAACCUGAAGAGAGAUUGGUCAAAAUAUGGGGAAGGACUCUGAGACUGACAACUACAAGGCAAGGAAGCCAUCAUUUUCUUAACAAAUUGAGAGAAAUUGGUUGCUUUGUUCUUUGUACACCUUAGUUGCUCGAGGGCGUGGAUGUUGUUUGAGUGUGAGGACAUGAAGUUCAUAUGUAAUGAACUUUUGGAUGAAACGUGAAA
rnacentral:misc_RNA from 1 species